rnacentral:lncRNA from 1 species
CGGGGAGAGAGGAGGAGUAAAGGCUGUUUACAAACUUGACGUACACACGCAGUCCUAUCCCUACGGUCCUGGAAUUGGGGGUUACUAUCUUGGAAUCUAGGGGCACUCCAGGCUCUGGGCUCAGACGGCUGGCUUCUGCCUACCCGAGCCUUAACCUUUCAAGGACCAGAAGGAUUCCAGAGCUCUUGCCCUAGGUCCUGGGGCAGCGAUGACUCACUGCAGCACCCCCUCCCACUUCGCCAAGCUGCCGUCUCCGCCCACCCCCAAACAAUCUCGACAGCGCAUUUCGGGAGCCACGGCUCCGGGCGCUUUGCUGGGGGCUAAAGGGGUUUAUCCCUUUCCUUGAAUCCCAGCAGGCUAGAACUACCCCCUCCCAGUCUUCAGGCUUGCCACGCUCUCCACCCGAUCCUUCCAUUGAAAGGCAGAGAAGGAAGGAUGUGCUUGGGAACUUUAAGACCCACGAACGACAGCGCACUGAUGGAGCAGCCCAGUGUCUGGGGCAAAGUCCUCGAGGUUCAUUCAUUCAGGAAGCCUCUGACCAGCCUUUACCAUGCGCUGAGUGAGAAGCUGAGGAUAAGGAAAGAGCAAGACCCCCAAGAAACCCUGAUGUCUGGCUGAAAGCCGAAGCAUGACGCAACUUUGCUAUAUUUCUCUCCAACAAGGAUUUGUAUAUUUUCGCUUUCUCCUCAAGUAACACCUGGACCUGCUCCUUUCCCUUCAAACGCUGAGGGCUCAGUCUCCAAGUUCCUUUAUGAAACAGGGUGUACCAUCAGAGACGCAGGAGACUUCAGAAAUGAAGAUGCAAAGACAACAGGGGAAACCAUAUAUGUUUAUGGACAGUCAUGCCAAAGUAUGAUUGGAAGACAAAAAGACCUGUGAUCUCACUAUGUUGCCUCGGCUGCUCUGAAACUCCUGGCCUCAAGUGAUCCCCCCUGCCUUGGCCUCCACAGUGCUGGAACUAUAGGUAUGAGCCAUUGCACCCAGCCAGGAAAUACAAUUUUCGAAAGACUAAACAAGUUUCUAAAAUCAUGGCACAAUUAAGUAGCAAAAUUAGAAUACAGAGUGGGCUUGUUGGAAAGCGUCAACUAUUAAUCACCAUGCCAUACUUUUGAGGAGCAGACCCCACACUUGUAACCAGGCCCUUCAAUUUAUCAUUCCUGCAAGUCAAGACUUCACCUGUGAACCAGCUGCCCUCUGCCAGCCCAACUUCGUGGAUGUGCAAUCUCUACAGUUGCACAGGGUCCCGUGUUUAGUUUAGUACUUUGCUUUUGCUAUCUUUAAAUACUUAAUAAUUUUUAAACAAGAGAUUCCAUAUUUUUAUUUUGCACUGAGCUUCACAAAUUACAAAGUCAGCGCUAUCCACAGUACCCAAGCUAUAAUUAAUACAAAGCUUUAAAAGCUGCAUGGAGUUUAGCUGAAAUUGCUGCCCAGUCCGAAGCUAAUUUUGGAAGAUGCUGUUCGGUCUUAGGUUAUGAAAAACGGUUCUGCCCUUUUACAACUCCAGCAGGAAGAGCUAAGCUCCCAAUAUUCCGUCCAUUAAUGUCCCUGGUGAGAGUCUUCAAAACUCACGAGCAACAAUGCAAGAAUUUCCCAGCCUUCAACGUGUGACCCACUUCUACAUUAUUGACUCCAAUAAACUGACCAAUUAAAUGUUUUUGUGGUCACAGAACUUGUAAUUAUGUGGUUAAAGAUGUUUCAGAUAUAUCACAUUCUUUCACACUGUGGCAGAAACUAUUGGUUAAAUAACUCAGCCAUGUCUAUCUUCCUUGUCCAAUCUGCACAAAAGAGACUGGAAAAAAGCUGGACACUUGCUUCUUUCCCAUCCUCCUUUGCAG